CAGUGAAAACUUGACUCUCAUAUUGACUCCCCAGAUGGACACACAGGUGAUUGAGGUUAUGGUCUCAUCACCACGAGGUAUUGUGUCCAUCUCCACUGGGGAUCGACCAGAUCAGGUGUUGACGUGGGCGAGAGGGUCUGUUUGUGUGUUUCCACAGGACCAGACGGAACCUCUUUGGGUGCUGGAGAGAUUGGUGAGACGCUGCAAGAAUGAGGCUCCUGAUCCAGUUGCCCCUGUGGAUGUGGUAGAUGAUCCCACAAGCACAAAGGAUGGAGCCGUGAUGGGAGAUCCUUUCGGUGUUCCAGAAGCCGAUACCAGCUCGACAUGA
rnacentral:lncRNA from 1 species